GGCCGAUUAGUUCAGCUGGAUAGAAUGUCUGCCUACGGAGCAGAUGGUCGUAGGUUCGAAUCCUGCAUCGGGUA
rnacentral:tRNA from 1 species